AAUUCUCAACCUUAUCAGUUUAUUUCUGAUAGUGGCUUGGAUUGUGGGGGUUGCUGGCUUGAGGUCAGCUCCCCUUAAAUGCAUUAGCUGGUGCCUUGUGUGGACCGUCUAUUUGGUGUGAUAAUUAUCUACGCCAUGGUCUGCUAGGGACUGCUUCUAACCGUCUGUUAAUUCGGACAAUACAUGACA
rnacentral:misc_RNA from 1 species